rnacentral:ncRNA from 1 species
CACUACCAAUUUGUGAGAGUCAUGAUCUGAAAAUAUCAUGAGAGGGCAAAGGUAGUUCAGUCUUAUUCCUGUGAUCUUGGUGACAAGCUCCAAAAAUCAAAACCAGUCAAGUUGCUUAGUAGUGAAAACGAAAAGUUGCUUGAUUG